GAAAGCCUCUAGUUUUUUACAGAAAAUCUGGGGAGAAUACUGAUUAUAGCUCAUUAACAUAUAUACAAUCUUACUUCUUUUGUUGAAUAUUUUUGUAUCAAACUUGAAAAAGUGUGAUUUUUUUUUUUAAUUUUUUAUAAUAAUGUAUAUGCAUGAAGCUUGUUAAAAAUGAAUAAUGAACUAGUUUGGCUAAUAAGAUUUUACUUAGAGUUUUAUUAACAGUAUGUAGACACAAAAUUAGCUAAUCCACCCUUUCGAAGAUUCAUGACUCCGUCCUUUCCUAUUGUAAUUUUGAGAUAAAACUUACGAGUUAGUGUAUGUAGAUUUAGAGUUGAUUAAAGUUUCACUACUAGAAAAGGGGGCAAUAGUCACCCUUUUGUCUCUAAUGUAUUGGUGUUGGUGACAAUUGAGUGGUUGGUCAAUGCUUUUAUUUACUUGUCACUAUUAUUUGUGACUAGUUUCUCACAUUUUAAUUUUUUGGUGACAGUUGAUUUAAAUAUAAUAAAUAUAAAACUAAUUAUUGUGAUUAACACCGAAACAGUAAUUUUUCAUGACUAAUAUUUGAUUAGAGCCUUGCUAAUAAUUGUAAUCCAAUAAAAUAUUCGGUGGAUUUCCCACCUCUCGUUCUCUCUCCUCAACCUCUCUUCUCCUACUUCUCAAACAAAUCAAAACUUACCCCUUUUCUUUUGUAAAGCUCUUCUCUCCCAAAACAACCCAACAACCCCUUUCUCGUCUGAUUUUCUUUUUAGAUCCGGUGGUUUCCACCCCGAUCCCUCCAUUUUUUAGCUAUCUCCUUGCUUUUGACAGAGUUUGUUAUCUCCAUAGUUUUUCUAGGACGUUUCUUUGGCUCUAGGCGGUCCUUUUAGAUCAAAUCUCAAAGCUGAGAUUUUAUGUCUUAGAUCUGAGAGCUAGAGAAGAUCAAGUUCUGCAGGGGCGGUGGAAUUGCUAGAGGCGCCUCUAUUCCCAGGCUUGAAUUACUUUUUUGGGUGGGACAUUACGAAAUUACAGGUAGAACUUCUUUGAUGUAAUGCCUUUUCUUCCUUUUUGUCUUACAGGAUUGCAUCUUCUUUUUAUUUUUAUUUUUUUCUAUCUUAAUAACUUGUGCUGGGCUCCAAGAGUAGAUAUCCCAUCAUCUCUUUGCUGAUUUACUGAGUUUGGCUGCUUAUAUCUUGUGCAUUUGUUUUAUCCCACGGGUCCUUCUGAAUUUGAAUUAUUCUUCAGUUUUUUUUAAUGUCAGUGAUGGUCUUUCUUUCUAUUCUAGCAUUUGGGACUGUUUUCUUUCUUUCUUUGUCAUUUCGAUUUACUUAUAGGGAUAGUGGACACUUCAAUUGCAGGGAUGGAGGAUGCUUCGGUUGCAUCGUUCGUUUGUAUGUUCAAAUCGGAGGAGUGCUUGGAUUAGAAAGUACUAGCAAUAUAUCUUCUUAGGCGUGUAUGUAUUAUUGUUUGUAGAGGAUAGUACAAAUUUUUUAUUCAUUAGGAAAAUAUUGUACUACUUAAUCACCAUCAUGUAUCAAUUGAAUAUUUAUAAAUAAUUAAAUAAUAAUAUUAGAGGAUUUGUUAACACAUGAAGUGCAUUACCAAGGAA